GGAUGCGGUCAUACCAGCACUAAAGCAUCGUAUCCCAUCAGAACUCCGAAGUUAAGCGUGCUUGGGCAAGAGUAGUACUAGGAUGGCGACCUCCUGGGAAGUCCUCGUGUUGCAUUCC
rnacentral:rRNA from 1 species